rnacentral:rRNA from 1 species
CACGUAGGCACCAAGCGUUGUCCGGAUUUAUUGGGCGUAAAGAGCUCGUAGGCGGUUCGGUAAGUCGGGUGUGAAAACUUUGGGCUCAACCCAAAGCCUGCACCCGAUACUGCUGUGACUUGAGUCCGGUAGGGGAGUGGGGAAUUCCUGGUGUAGCGGUGGAAUGCGUAGAUAUCAGUCGGAACACCGGUGGCGUAGGCGGCUUCUUGGGCCAUUUCUGACGCUGAGGCGCGAAAGCUAGGGGAGCGAACGGG